AACGCGAAGAACCUUACCUACCUUUGACAUGUCUAGAAUUUUGCAGAGAUGUGAAAGUGCUCGAAAGAGAACUAGAACACAGGUGCUGCAUGGCCGUCGUCAGCUCGUGUCGUGAGAUGUUGGGUUAAGUCCCGCAACGAGCGCAACCCUUGUCAUUAGUUGCUACGAAAGGGCACUCUAAUGAGACUGCCGGUGACAAACCGGAGGAAGGUGGGGAUGACGUCAGGUCCUCAUGGCCCUUAUGGGUAGGGCUACACACGUCAUACAAUGGCCGGUACAGAGGGCUGCCAACCCGCGAGGGGGAGCCAAUCCCAGAAAACCGGUCGUAGUCCGGAUCGCAGUCUGCAACUCGACUGCGUGAAGUCGGAAUCGCUAGUAAUCGCGGAUCAGCUUGCCGCGGUGAAUACGUUCCCGGGCCUUGUACACACGG
rnacentral:rRNA from 1 species